rnacentral:rRNA from 1 species
ACAGCAGCCGCCGCGGUAAUACGUAGGUGGCAAGCGUUGUCCGGAAUUAUUGGGCGUAAAGCGCGCGCAGGCGGAUCAGUCAGUCUGUCUUAAAAGUUCGGGGCUUAACCCCGUGAGGGGAUGGAAACUGCUGAUCUAGAGUAUCGGAGAGGAAAGUGGAAUUCCUAGUGUAGCGGUGAAAUGCGUAGAUAUUAGGAAGAACACCAGUGGCGAAGGCGACUUUCUGGACGAAAACUGACGCUGAGGCGCGAAAGCCAGGGGAGCGAACGGGAUUAGAUACCCCAGUAGUCCCUGUCUCUUAUACA